rnacentral:rRNA from 1 species
AUUGAACGCUGGCGGCAUGCCUUACACAUGCAAGUCGAACGGCAGCACGGGAGCAAUCCUGGUGGCGAGUGGCGAACGGGUGAGUAAUAUAUCGGAACGUGCCCAGUCGUGGGGGAUAACGCAGCGAAAGCUGUGCUAAUACCGCAUACGAUCUACGGAUGAAAGCGGGGGAUCGCAAGACCUCGCGCGAUUGGAGCGGCCGAUAUCAGAUUAGCUAGUUGGUGGGGUAAAAGCCCACCAAGGCGACGAUCUGUAGCUGGUCUGAGAGGACGACCAGCCACACAGGAACUGAGAAACGGUCCAGACUCCUACGGGGGGCAGAAGUGGGGAAUUUUGGACAAUGGGCGCAAGCCUGAUCCAGCAAUGCCGCGUGCAGGAUGAAGGCCUUCGGGUUGUAAACUGCUUUUGUACGGAACGAAACGGCUCUUUCUAAUAAAGAGGGCUAAUGACGGUACCGUAAGGAUAAGCACCGGCUAACUACGUGCCAGCCGCCGCAGUAA